ACUGUAGGCUGCAACUCGCCUACACGAAGUUGGAAUUGCUAGUAAUCGUGGAUCGGCAUGCCACGGUGAAUACGUUCCCGGGUCUUGUACACACCGCCCGUCACACCAUGGGAGCUGGUAACACCCGAAGUCAGUAGUCUAACCGCAAGGAGGACGCUGCCGAAGGUGGGAUUGGCGACUGGGGUGAAGUCGUAACAAGGUAAC
rnacentral:rRNA from 1 species